GCCUUGGUUAGUUCAGUUGGUUAGAACAUGGUGCUGAUAAUGCCAUGGUCGCAAGUUCGAUCCCCAUAUGGGACA